CGAUAACUACGACGACUACUGGAGACCAGACGAGAGAGAGCCGACCUCUCCGGCGCCCGAUGCCUACGAUGACUACUGGACGCCAGACAACAAAGACCCGUACGCUCCCGUGACUGAGCCAACGCCACUGGCCCCAAAGGGUGAUGGGAAAACAGAUGACACCGAUUACUGGGACGCCACAUACGAGGUGCCGGAGAGUCUCCCGUUCCCUGACGGCGAAGAGGUCAGCCCUGAAAUCAAAGUAGAAACUCUACCAGAGGAGCCCACAGCCUCUCCUCCAGAGUACGAUGACUACUACGAAUACGGAAUGAG